AUUGAACGCUGGCGGCAUGCCUAACACAUGCAAGUCGAACGGCAGCACUAUCUAGCUUGCUAGAGAGGUGGCGAGUGGCGCACGGGUGAGUAACGCGUAGGAAUAUACCUUAAAGAGGGGGAUAACUUGGGGAAACUCAAGCUAAUACCGCAUAAACUCUGAGGAGAGAAGCUGGGGACCGCAAGGCCUGGCGCUUUAAGAUUAGCCUGCGUCCGAUUAGCUAGUUGGUGGGGUAAGGGCUUACCAAGGCGACGAUCGGUAGCUGGUCUGAGAGGAUGAUCAGCCACACUGGGACUGAGACACGGCCCAGACUCCUACGGGAGGCAGCAGUGGGGAAUAUUGGACAAUGGGGGGAACCCUGAUCCAGCAAUGCCGCGUGUGUGAAGAAGGCCUGAGGGUUGUAAAGCACUUUCAGUGGGGAGGAGGAUUGACUGGUUAAGAGCUGGUUAAUUGGACGUUACCCACAGAAGAAGCACCGGCUAACUCCGUGCCAGCAGCAGCCGCCG
rnacentral:rRNA from 1 species